rnacentral:tRNA from 1 species
GUCCUAGUAGUAUAAACAAUUACAGUGGUCUUGUAAACCACAAAUGGAGCUCACACCUCCCUAAGACU